rnacentral:rRNA from 1 species
UACAGAGGGUGCGAGCGUUAAUCGGAAUUACUGGGCGUAAAGCGCGCGUAGGCGGCUUUGCAAGUCGAGUGUGAAAUCCCCAGGCUUAACCUGGGAACUGCAUUCGAGACUGCAUAGCUAGAGUAUGGGAGAGGGAAGUGGAAUUCCGGGUGUAGCGGUGGAAUGCGUAGAGAUCCGGAAGAACACCGGUGGCGAAGGCGGCCUGCUGGGCAGUAGCUGACGCUGAGGCGCGACAGCGUGGGGAGCAAACAGG